UACGGUAGGUGGCAAGCGUUUGUCCGGAUUUAGCUGGGCGUAAAGAGCGCGCAGGCGUCGGAUCAGUCGAAUGUGAAAGCCCCGGCUCAACUGGGGAGGGUCAUUCGAUACUGUCCGACUCGAAGGCAGGAGAGGGUAGUGGAAUUCCCGGUGUAGUGGUGAAAUGCGUAGAUAUCGGGAGGAACACCAGUGGCGAAGGCGACUACCUGGCCUGUUUCUUGACGCUGAGGCACGAAGGUCAGGGGAGCAAACGGG
rnacentral:rRNA from 1 species